GACGAAGGGGGCUAGCGUUGUUCGGAAUUACUGGGCGUAAAGCGCGUGUAGGCGGUUGCCCAAGUCGGGUGUGAAAGCCUUGAGCUCAACUCAAGAAAUGCACUCGGUACUGGGUGACUAGAGGACCGGAGAGGAUAGUGGAAUUCCCAGUGUAGUGGUGAAAUACGUAGAGAUUGGGAAGAACACCAGUGGCGAAGGCGGCUAUCUGGACGGUUUCUGACGCUAAGGAGCGAAAGCGUGGGGAGCAAACAGG
rnacentral:rRNA from 1 species